rnacentral:tRNA from 1 species
GGGGGUAUAGCUCAGUGAUAGAGCAUGUGCUUAGCAUGCACAAGAUCCUGGGUUCAAUCCCCAGUACCUCCA